UGCAUGACUGUAGUAUACAAGGAAAUCUGC
rnacentral:piRNA from 1 species